rnacentral:rRNA from 1 species
GACGAACGCUGGCGGCGUGCUUAACACAUGCAAGUCGAACGGGCCCGCCCCUGUUUUUGGGGGUGGGUUGAGUGGCGAACGGGUGAGUAUCACGUGAGUAACCUGCCCCCUGCUCCUGGAUAACUGCUUGAAAGGGCGGCUAAUACGGGGUGUGCCGGCUGGUCCGCAUGGGCCUGGUCGGGAUAGUUUCAUCUUCGGGUGUUUCGGUGGGGGAUGGGCUCGCGGCCUAUCAGCUUGUUGGUGGGGUGAUGGCCCACCAAGGCGGUGACGGGUAGCCGGCCUGAGAGGGUGGGCGGCCACACUGGGACUGAGACACGGCCCAGACUCCUGCGGGAGGCAGCAGUGGGGGGUAUUGCACAAUGGGCGGAAACCUGAUGCAGCGACGUCGCGUGAGGGAUGGAGGCCUUCGGGUUGUGAACCUCUUUCUCCGGUGGUGAAGGCCCUGUCCGUUGCGGCGGGGUUGACGGUAGCCGGGUAUGAAGCGCCGGCUAACUACGUG